UCCCCUCACCCGACGCCAUGCCCGACUCUUCUUUUCUUCUCCUUCUUCCUCCCCGAGCCCGAUCCCCUUCCUCUUCCUCUUCCCCUUUGCUCCCGCGACGCCGAAGCCCUCUCCUCGUCCCUGAGCCCGAUCAUCUUCCCCUCGGCCAAGGGGAAUCCUCAAGCCGAAUCCCUUUCCGACGCCUCCUUCUCCUCCAAUUCGUUCAUCUCCUCGCGCCAAGCAGCAUCGAGCCGUGCCCUAGAUCUAUCUCUCGCCGUCGCAUCCGAUCACUGGACCAGGUUACUUCAACGAUGUCAUGCCCUAGCCAUCCUUGCCGUCCCUUUUCUUCCUCUCCCGGUCUCUCUGUGCACCGCUGCCGACCACCACGGACACACGAUGACAGCCACAACCGAGAGAGAGAGCCCUAGGUGUCGCCCUCUUCCCGCACGGAGCAGCGCCGACGCCGCAAAUCGAAGACAUCCGAGCGUUUGAAUUCUCUGUUCAUCGUGCCCUAGUUCCCGAUCCGUGAUCGCCGGGGGUAUUCGGUUGCUCCGACGCGAACUGGUAGGCAGUGGUUUCCUUCGGUUCUGGCCAUCCCAUUGCCGAUAGCUUGUAGCUAAAAUCGCUGGAUCACAGGAGUAGUCGACAUUUCCAGCGGCCACUAGUACCCACUACUCUUACACACCGAGCUCUAUUGCCACCAUAGAGGGCUUUAACGGAUCUGGUCAUUGUUCCCACCGCGGAUUGUUCCAGCCAUGAGUCAACAGGGAAGCCUCCGAUUUGGGGACUUUGAUUCGAGACGACAUCUCGACGUGGGGUCUAUUUCGGAUACGAUCACCACUUUUUGAGGUUGAUGCUGUCAGGAGGUUCCAGUCACUAGUCCCCCACCACUUUGCUUCGCGACUAUUUUAUACUCUUUAGACUUUUGGUUCCUUGUUAUGUAUUUAUAUACACUUGUGAUGUAGGAUUGUACUCGAGGAUCUUUUUAUCGAGUUUUGAUCUACUACUUAU